GGGGGGGGGGGGGGCAGGUUCAGACUGGAAAAAACUAGAAGCAUGUGACAGAGAAAGAGUGGGGGUGGGGUGGGGGGUCACAACAUGAUGUCAUGAUUGGGACUACAUUUAACACGUGCACGCAAAAGCCACUGAUUCAGGCAAAUAUCUUACCUUCUUCCAACAGCACACAGUUUAAUCAAACCUCAACAAGUUCCCCUGAUUACCUUCAAUAAAACCGGCUUGUUACACGAUGGGAGCGUCCUCCCUUUUUGUCUCCACAAGCAUGAAAGAAUAAAAAACUUAUCUUCGAAUGCAAAUGGAAACUUGUAGAAAAAAGGCAGAGGCAUUUCAGCGGCAGAUAAAGAGUUGGAGGGAAACCAAACCACCCAGAUAGUCCUACCUCCAUCUUUAUCUGCACCUACAGGAGGACCUCUCACACCCCAUACCAGCUCCCACACCCUAACCAUGUUACCAUGGCAACUGCCAUAUCCCACCUAACCCAGGCCUUCCUACAGAACAUGCCACUGUUCACAUACAAAAUCUAGAAACAAAGACAUCUAUGUACUGAAUUGAAUUAUUAGGUUGUUAUUAGAAUAAAAAGAAUUACAGUCCUUCCUUUAUAUGCACAGAACUAUAUGUAACUGUGAUUAAUGAAGUUGACCUUAAAACAGUGGUGUAGUGGUGAAGACGUGAGUGUACUCUCAAUAGUUGUAUGUUAAUGACUUGGUGUUGGAGCAUGGGUAUUCAUCAGUUUUGCUUGAGAAAUCACUACACCUAUGUGUUCUUAUAUCCUGCAAUACAUGACUUUGACCUUUUUCAUUUAAUAGUAACAGCAAUGUUUGGAUUUAAAUUCAAUGAAUCCACUUCUAAAAGAAAGUAUAAGAGCUAAAAUCCCCAGGAAGGCUCCUUUUCUCUUCAAAAACAGUCUGUUAUUAUGGGAUGUAGACAAACCGUCAGGGAUUAAAGACAAACUACAGCAGGUAACCCGCUCUAUUGCAGUCCAUGCAUAAUUUGAUGAGCUCUGUGUGUGUGUGUGUGUAUGUGUCAUAUCUAAUAUAAAAUCUCCAUAUCCUGGAAUCUAUCAUAUGAGAAGAAAUCCACCGAAUUUAAUAAGUCAGAUAACAUGUCAUCAGCUGACAUAUUGUGGUAUUAAAUUCCAAUCCAUGAAACCAUCACGCAUAAAUCCGAGGGGCUAUGAGAUUCAGAAGACUUGAGAGAUGGUGAACAUUUAUUACUACACUGUGAGAUAAAGCUCAGAGCACAGCUAAUGGACAGUAAAAAUAAUUUAAAAAAAAAAAGCCAUGUUCUCUCAUAAGAGUUCUUUUGUUUGGGCAUGUAUGACCAAGAAAGGUCUAAAUUCUGUGAAAUGGCUUUGGACACAGAAUUUUGAGCAAAUAGGAGAAGAGUCAGUGCUGUUAGCUGCUGAAACUUAACUUGAUUUUUUUCCUCUGAUAUCAAUAAAUACUUUUGCUUAAAAAGGUUACAUCUGCACUUUUCUUUUUAAAUAACAUUUUACAGAUUAUGAUGUAAAAAAAAUAAAAACAGGAUUCAUGUGUAAUAUUUGUGCAAAGUCCAGCUGGGUGUAAUAAGGGUGUGGACCAUGACCGGACAGAGGCAGUCAGGUCAGGACCAGAUAAGAAAAAGUUCAACCCGUGCCGUCUGGUCCAGCCCAGAUGUCAUCAUGUUAUGCUAAUGAGCCAGGGGCCUUUAAGUGUCAGAGCCCAACCCGGGCAGACCAGUUUGGAGAAUGAACCUGAAGUGGACACAUAGCAGACCUUAAAAUAUGAACAUGGUGUGAAGGGAAGUGUCAGCAAUCCAUAAAAGAUGCAACGCAGAGAGCCUCACCUCGCAGACGACAACAACACCCUGCUAACGGUUAUGUCUUGUGCCCUGGACAGGAUAUCAUCUUAUACUGUAAGUUUAUUAAAGAGACACUACAGUAUAGAUGAUGUACUAUCCAGGGUUUCAUUCCCACUCUGGCGCUAUCAGCACAUGCUCAGGCCUAACUGUCCACAGGCUGCACACACUGCAGAGGAGGGCCGUCAAACCGUUACCAUUACUGAGUUUUAGUAAUGGUAAGGGUUAUAUGGCCCUCGCUCAAUGUCGUCUGGACCAGGAGGAGGAAAAACAGGAAAAGCCUUUGAUUGAUGUCUUAUUCAUGAGCUUCGUCUCUUAAUCCCAUUUUUAGAUGUACUUGUGGUUGCAUGUAAAAUAAAGCUUACGGUUCCCAAACAAA